AGAGUGUGAUACACAAGUGUCGACCGAAACUAUAUCUGGAUAUGAUGGACAUGAUGGUGAGCAAGAUCUUGAAUCUGCAAGUGUAUCCAAGGAAACAGAAUCAAAAAAUCUAAUUGCUGGUACAAGUGGUAGUCAAAUAUACAGUGACAAUGAAAUCGAAAAUGCGACUGGAUUACUAGAAAAGGAACGAAUGAUUUUUGCCAACAAGAAAGCAAGAGAAAUUUCACGUGAUCCAUUCUUUGAAACUUGGGGUUUUCAGGAAAGGUGUGGUGUUAUAGAGGUCCACUGGACACUGAUGAAAACUAAGCUUUUAGUGAGUAACGUUCAAGACCUUGAAUCAAAUUGGGCAAACCUGAAUGACAGAGGUCCAAAUUUGAAAUCUGUAUUAACGAAUUCUGAAAAACUCAAAAAGGCGCAGUUUUUAGCAGACCAGGGCUACAAAACAUUUUGUGAAGAGAUAAGUCAUCAUGAUGGAGAAAGAAGAACCAGUUUGACGUGGUUUUCACAAAUUUAAAGUCCGCACAGUGCGAUGUUGUCAGGUCAAUUGAGCAGUACAACAAAGCUGUUAAUCAACAGGCAACAAUGGUUUUCAACCAAAACAUUGACACUGCGUCUGGGAACAAGGGCAGUGAGCAAUAUGGCAUUGCAACUGGAGAUAAUUUAUCAGAUAGCCCACCAAUGCAAGAUGAACAAAUGGAAUUUAUAGUUGCUUCAGUCAAGGACGAAUAUGAAGAAGGUAUUUUAGACUAGCAAAUGUUGUAAAGGAAAUAAUGUUUUACUUUUAGCUUGAGCAAACAAUCAAAACUAUAUACAAUCCGGAUUGUCU
rnacentral:lncRNA from 1 species